GCGCCCGUAGCUCAGUCAGGAUAGAGCAGCGGUUUCCUAAACCGCAGGCCGGAGGUUCGAGUCCUCCCGGGCGCACCA
rnacentral:tRNA from 1 species